rnacentral:sRNA from 12 species
UUUUUCAUGGGGGCGAAAUAGGAUCGACGAGGGUGUAAAGGAUCUUCUUUUGCUCGGCAUGGUUCCGCCGUUAUCGGGCCGUUUGAUAGUUGCAAAUGACAACUACGCUGAGGCACGUCUAGCUGCGUAAGCGGUUCGACUGUUUCGAAUCUAGUCCUGUAAGUUAGCGCUUGCAGGCGGGGUUCGGAGGCACCUGGCAACAGAAGCCUCCA